AGAACGCUGUGCGAUACCCAAUCACCCACCAGCUCCCAGAGACUUCCGCUUCCCUCCUCCAUCGGCAUCGUUAUCUUGUUUGUUACACCUAUACGUUUAUAUAUCUAUAUACGUAAACGUAUAUACCUAUACAGAGUCUGCCUUCUCUCUCUUUUAGUUUCCGUUGGUGCUUCAGCCACCUUUUCCGGUACUAUUACGACUUAAGCGACAACGACUAUUCCUACUUCUACUACCCAACCCAUCACGCGCAUACUCACUUCCUUCCUCCCUCUCCUUUAUCUUCGCUCCUCCUCCUUCCUCCUCCCCACUCGCUUCUGCAAGUCUCUUCUACUGUCUCUCUCAUUUCAACACGAUACUUCUUGCCUCCCCCCUCUCUCGCCCCACAGCACCAUGUCUAUCUACGACUUCAAGGUCAACGGCAGCGACCACCAGCCAUACGACCUUGGCCAGCACAAGGGCCAUCCGCUUCUCAUCUACAACGUAGCCAGCAAGUGCGGCUUCACCAAGGGCGGCUACGAGACAGCCACGACGCUAUACAACAAGUACAAGCAUCUCGGCUUCACGGUACUGGCGUUCCCGUGCAACCAGUUCGCCGGUCAGGAACCUGGAACAGAGGAGGAGGUGAAGGAGUUCGCCUGCACGCGUUUCAAGGCUGAGUUCCCCAUUAUGGAGAAGGUCUGUGUCAACGGCGAGCACGAGCACCCGCUGUACCACUACUUGAAGAGCAAGUGCAAGGGUAUCCUCGGCACGACGUUUGUGAAGUGGAACUUCACGGCGUUCCUGGUGGACAAGGACGGCCAUCCCGUGUGCCGCUUCGCGCCCGGUGCGACGGUGUCCGAAAUCGAGAAGAAGUUGCUGCCGCUACUGCAGGCUGACAGUGACGGUGCAAAGGUGUUGUCAAGCACUCAGUCGUGAAGGCAGCGGAUCGAGGGAUGCAGGGGCCGUAGCCGAUGGAGGGUAGAGAUUGAUUUAGUGCAGUUUGCGCGCACUGUAUACCCCGCCUAACGACGCCAAACAUAUCCCUUGGGACAUCUCGGAAGCGGUGCUGCACAGCUGCCCUCGGUUGUGCAGCAGGCCUCACUAAGCGCCUAAAGUCACGCACGUACCGUUGUGCACCCCGCUCACCCCACCUCUUGGAGCGUUUUCACUCGGUUCUGCUUCACCUUCUCUCUGAUAUCUCAUACUUAUGCUUGUCGACCCGCAUCAUCAUUGCCAUCGGCACUUUCUCCCCUUUUUCAUUACUGAUCCACGGAAACGCGUUCUGUUCCGUUCUCUUCGUUGCCUGCAUGUGUGCCCUGGGAAGCAAGCGGGUGAGGAGGGAGCGAAGGGGAAGGCAGCUGUGUCAUUUGUGUGCGUCGCUUUCUCCACCCGUUUCCACCUGUACGCCAUGAUGGUUGCGCAUUCAUCGAUUCCAAAGUAGUUGCGACUGUGGAUGCUACUGCGCUUAACCCUCCAUGUCGGUUUGGCUUCCGUACGGCCAUGGUGCUUUUUGGCGCGCGCGCGCGCACACACACACACACACACACACGCAUACGCAGGAACACGGGAUGCUGGCGUACGUUUCUCAAUAUGUUGGUGUGGUUUUGCAUCUGUGGUGCGGGUGAGCAAGAACCAGCAGUGCAGGAGCGACGGAAGAAAGGCGCAGGCGGCUUCCUCUUUGUGUGUGUGUGUUGCUCUACCUUGUACUCUGUGUAUCUUGUGCGUGCACGUAGUGUAGCUCAGCUGAUCGCACGUUGACAGAGGGUGUAAGAGUCAACGAGCAACAUACGUACGUACGCAUCACGUCCGCCUCUCCCCCUUUUCUGUCCCUUACCUCUCUCCACACCUCCGUGUCUGUGUGUACAUGUGCCUCUCGCACCCCUCCCCCUCCUCCUCUCCUCCCUCGACUGCGUCAUUCUCUUCUCACCCGCAGCCGAAUAUUCUCCGAUGAGCAUUUCUACUUGUCUUUCGCUCCGCGCACCGUCAUCCGUCAAGCCGUGUGCGCAUGUCUUGCGUGUCUCUCGCCCCUACCCCUCUCCAUCUCCACCUUAUUCGCCCACUGUGGCGCUUCUGC
rnacentral:misc_RNA from 1 species